AAACGACGAUAUUUACGUGUACUUCCUGUCAGCUGAUCUGUGUCAUCUCGAUCGCAACAAAAUGGUUUGUGUUCCAUGCAUCGUAGUUCCUUUUGUUUUAUGGUUUUUCAACAAAUAUGUGCGACCAUACGUUGCCAAAUACCUCCCGUGGUUCAAAGAAACACCGACUACCUCCAAUCCUCCCAAAACAGAUGGCGAUUCCACAAAAUCUUCUGACGAACAGGUGACGAAUGGAACAUGCAAAUUUGCAAAAAUGUUUUCAAAUGGAAAAGCUGAUAUACCAAAUGGACAUCCAACUACCACGGAAGUUGGCGGUGGAAGUAAAAAGGAAAAUUAAUUGUCAUAGACACACUGCUACAUGUCUUUCUUCAUCUUGGAAUUAUGGUCAUACAGAUAAACCUCAAUCGUUUUCCUUGAACAAGAUGGAAUCAACAUUAACAUAAGCCGGUCCCAGUCUGAAUUCUAGAGCCAGCAGUAUUUACCUACAACAUGUGUGAUAAUCAGCACAGCAUAUUUAUACCGUGUAUUGAGAAUGGAUCAAUGAUGCAAUAAUGAACUGGGUGCAAUGUUUUCAUAAUAUGUACUUCAAUUUUGAUUUUUUGAAAAAUAAAUCAAAAUCCUAAUUUUACACAUCAUCAAGGAAACAUUUAAAAACAAAUCUGGUAAUUAGGUAAUAUAUGGCUGAACAAAAUGUGUUGUUUCCACUUUUUGCUUGAAAAAAAUAGGGUUGGUAUGAAGGCAGGACAAAAACUUUUUCUUUUGCAAGAAAUUUCAACAAAUGUUCAAAAAGUAGGGUAGCACUAAAAACUAGGGUAGGGAAUUUGACAGGGGAAACAUAUUUUAUUUACUCUAAUCUGUUGUAGAUUAAUGUUUGUAUGUAAAUUGUUUGCAAUUAAAAUUUUGUCAUGAAUUUGAAUUCGAUCACAGCUAUUCAUGAUAAUACAGCAUACUUCAAAUAUCUGACCAAAAAUAUUGAGAUCUGAGCUAACUUUAAGAUGUCAUAUGUCAAAAUACAAUUUAUACAUGUACUUUAACAAAUAUAUUUCAAAAGUGUAUAUGGUAAAAUACUCUUUACACAUACUUAUUGUGAAUUCCUGCUUGUAAUUAUAAGGUAUCAUUUUGUCCCCUGGCAAAGGUUUAUAUCUUUGUAAUUUGUUGUGCAUAUACAUGUGCGUACAUAUACAUAGUGAACACAUUAAUGUGGUCCCCCGGUGUUAAAGUCAUAAACAGACUUUGUUUUGCAUGUAGGUAUCGAUUAUUAUAACGACUGACAUUUGAAUAAAACAUUCAAGAAAAGUAAUAUUGUACAAAGACAUUAAUAACUGCAUUGUAAACAGUACAUCUGUGUGUAUGGAACCUAAGUAAUGCAGAUAACUAAAAUUUGGAAAAUUCACUUUUUAGACUAGAAGACCUUUGAGAGCACAUGUUUGUGCACAUGUGGAGUCUCCAAAAUUAGUUUGAACUCUAGGGUCUGAAAAGAUUUAUCUAUUUGACAUGUCUUUUGACCCUCCACAUGAUCUUAGGGAAACUGUUAUUUUACUUAGGUAUUUUCGAAAUGUCAAGUGACAACUGAAUGUCCUGGUAGAAAAGUGGCUAAAUUAACAGGUGUCGACUAUUUGUAACAGAAUAUCCUGAUCAGGUCCUAUUUAUUUCAUGUGAGUGAGGAUCGUUGAUGCCGCACCCCUGCAUUAAUCAGCCUCAAGCCUGUGGUUGCCCGCUAUCAUCCAUCACGUCACCACACUAGAUCAGCAUGCCACGUCACCAUGUACCUGUACCCAGUAAAGCUCAUACAUGUACACGUAUAAAUACCAAAUUACUGUAAUAUGAUAUGUCAACUACAAUGUUCCUAUAUUACAAAAAUGUACCUAGCUAACUCGGGUACCUAUAUUUUGGGAUAAAACAAUAGCGAAGAAAUAAGAAAAGAAUAGAUACUGUUCAUCAAAAUUAAGCUCAUAAAAUACAGUAAAUCACUUGUGUUUACAUGAAUUACUGUGGAUAAACACACAGGACUCGUAAUGUAUUUAAACAUGUAAUACUGGAGUCAAGCUAAACAUGUAAUACUGGAGUCAAGCUAACAUUUCUAUUCAAGGAAUUACCUAAGCACUUGUGUUAAUUAUACAAAUACAAUAUGGAGUACAUGUAUGAGGUGAAAUUGUAAUUAAGAAUAAUCAUCUAUAUCAUGUUUUAUAGUACAUGUAUAUUGAAUUAAACUUUGUUGUACAUUUCUUGUUUUGUUGUGAGAAUAAAUUAUUCAGGAAAGUGUA
rnacentral:lncRNA from 1 species